GACGAACGCUGGCGGCGUGCUUAACACAUGCAAGUCGAACGGGCCUUGUCCCCUUUUUUUUGGGGGUGGGGUUAGUGGCGAACGGGUGAGUAACACGUGAGUAACCUGCCCCUCACUUCUGGAUAACCGCUUGAAAGGGUGGCUAAUACGGGGUGUUCUGGCCUGCUCGCAUGGGUGGGUUUGGAAAGAUUCGACCGGUUUUGGUUGUUUUGGUGGGGGAUGGGCUCGCGGCCUAUCAGCUUGUUGGUGGGGUGAUGGCCUGCCAAGGCUUUGACGGGUAGCCGGCCUGAGAGGGUGGGCGGUCACACUGGGACUGAGACACGGCCCAGACUCCUACGGGAGGCAGCAGUGGGGAAUAUUGCACAAUGGGCGCAAGCCUGAUGCAGCGACGCCGCGUGAGGGAUGGAGGCCUUCGGGUUGUGAACCUCUUUCGCCAGUGAAGAAGGUCCUGCUCUUUGUGGUGGGGUUGACGGUCGCUGGGUUAAUGAAGCGCCGGCUAACUACGUG
rnacentral:rRNA from 1 species